AUUGAACGCUGGCGGCAGGCCUAACACAUGCAAGUCGAGCGGAUGAAGGGAGCUUGCUCCUGGAUUCAGCGGCGGACGGGUGGGUAAUGCCUAGGAAUCUGCCUGGUAGUUGGGGAUAACGUCCGGAAACGGGCGCUAAUACCGCAUACGUCCUGAGGUAGAAAGUGGGGGAUCUUUGGACCUCACGCUAUCAGCUGAGCCUAGGUCGGAUUAGCUAGUUGGUGAGGUAAAGGCCUACCAAGGCGACGAUCCGUAACUGGUCUGAGAGGAUGAUCAGCCACACUGGAACUGAGACACGGUCCAGACUCCUACGGGAGGCAGCAGUGGGGAAUAUUGGACAAUGGGCGAAAGCCUGAUCCAGCAAUGCCGCGUGUGUGAAGAAGGUCUUCGGAUUGUAAAGCACUUUAAGUUGGGAGGAAGGGCAGUAAGUUAAUACCUUGAUGUUUUGACGUUACCAACAGAAUAAGCACCGGCUAACUUCGUG
rnacentral:rRNA from 1 species